rnacentral:lncRNA from 1 species
AAGAGAGUGAAGUGGCAGGAUAGACAAAAGUAGGGCAUCUAGGGGGAUAUGGGAAUGUUUGUUAGUGAUUGUGAUUUCUGCUAUAAGGGUAACGAUUAGGCAGAAGGCUAAAAUGAGGGAGACUUUUUGGCUAGUAUUCCGAUUGGAAGGAGUUACAUUAUAUAAUUUCACUGUAAACAAUAGGCUUUCUUGGGGAAGAAAACACAUGCACAAAUCCUGGUGUAAGGAAUAUUUUAAGCAUAUAUCUUCAAUAUCAUUCAUCCAGGACCGAGGUGCUACACAUGAAACUUGUAACCAGUUACUACAGGCGAAAGCAAAUCCAUGUCUUCAGGCUGGUGUCAUCAGGGAGAGAAGCUUUGGUUUCCACAUAAGGAUAUAAGAUCAUUGAUGUAAAACAAGACAUGUAACCUCUCAAAUUGAGAGAAUGGAUUGGAGAGAUAUUGUUGACCAUGUUUUCCCCUGUAUCUCACCUUCCCCUCUCCAAGACUUCCUUGUCAGUUACCCAUAUUGAUAUCAGUUUAUCCACAUCCAUGCUUUCAAGUUUAAACAAAGAAACUAGGCAAAGGCAGCUAUGUAUUCGCUAGGAUUAGGGAGGAGAAGAUAAUGAACCACUGGAUAGUGAGAAGAAAGAGAGGUGGAGAAAGUGAGAGACCCCAGUAACAGAGGACAGGGACACAUUGCUAAGGAUAGGGACACAUUCACUGUAAUAUAGAAGGCCAUGCUUAUAUGUAAAAUAUGCAGUAAUUGUAUAUAUAUGUACAAAAGUGAUGACACACAUAUGCACAUAAACAAAACACAAUUACUGUCUAUGUUUCUUUAUUUGUGACCUAAUGUUUUAUGUUGUUUGUAACUGAAAAAAAAAUUCCCUUCUGAAUAAAAUGUCAAUUUUGCGAUUGCA